rnacentral:rRNA from 1 species
GACGAACGCUGGCGGCGUGCUUAACACAUGCAAGUCGAACGGAAAGGCCCUGCUUUUGUGGGGUGCUCGAGUGGCGAACGGGUGAGUAACACGUGAGUAACCUGCCCUUGACUUUGGGAUAACUUCAGGAAACUGGGGCUAAUACCGGAUAGGAGCUCCUGCUGCAUGGUGGGGGUUGGAAAGUUUCGGCGGUUGGGGAUGGACUCGCGGCUUAUCAGCUUGUUGGUGGGGUAGUGGCUUACCAAGGCUUUGAGGGGUAGCCGGCCUGAGAGGGUGACCGGCGUCAAUGGGACUAAGAUACGGAGCAGACUGCUACGGGCGGCAGCAGUGGAGAAUCUUGCGCAGUGGGGGGACGUGUGAUGUAGCAACGCCGCGUGCGGGAUACCGGCUUACGAGUUGUAAACAGAUGUGGCAUUUGACAAAGCCGGAUUGACGGUACUGGGUAAAGAAGCACCGGCUAACUACGUG